ACACCUGGACAGGGCAGCGGUAGGGCAGCGGUGGGCCGGCGGUUGCGCUCCUCAGAUGGGCGGCCUUCCGGGCGGUGGCUUGCAUUUGAGCCUCAGAAAGCGAGGAGCGGCCUCCACGGAAGCCAAGCUGGCCGAGGUUGCAGUCCAUGAGCUGAGAAAGGAGGCAGUGCUCUUGGGAGAAACAACAGAGGCCUCAAGUUUCAGGCUGAAGCCAACAGAGUCCCAACCAGUGGGCAUAUCCCAAGAUGAAGAAUUUUGGAAUACAUACCAGGGUCUGCAAGAACAGCUCAGCAGGAAUACUCAUAAAGAGACUGAGCCUGUGUAUGAGAGGGCUGUGCCUACUCAACAGAUUCUAGCCUUUCCUGGGCAAACAAACACCAAAGACUGGACAGUGACACCUGAGCGCGUCUUACCUGAGUCUCAGCAUUGUUUGUGCUCCCCAAACCUAAAGUGAUCUCCUGUCUAGAGCAAGGGGAAGAGCCAUGGGUUCAAGUAUCCCCGGAGUUUAAGGAUAGUGCUGGAAAAUCUCCUACAGGGUUAAAGCUCAAAAACGACACUGAAAAUCAUCAGCCUGUAUCCCUUUCUGACUUAGAAAUAC
rnacentral:sRNA from 1 species